CUCUUAUUCUUUUAGUGCAAGUAAAAACUUGUGGUGAAAUCAUUCGCUUUCCUCUUUGUGGAUUUGGACGAAUCUAGUUCUGCAAAUAUAUACCUUCUACAACCCUAAAAAAUACAGCAAGACCUGUCAAAAGAUCUAACCCUAACUGAAAGGUAGUUGUCUUUUGUGUAUACACGUAUGUGACGUUCGUAAGAGAGCACAGCGUCAGAUGCAGCCAUGUAUGCGUGUGCUGGACAUGCAGAGAAUUGCAAGUCUGAAUGGGAAUAAAAAAACAUUAAAAAGUGCAGCUGCUAUAUUCAUAACUUGUCUUAGUACUGUCUUCCUGUUGUGUCUAGCAGCUCUGAGAUGACUGCAGGCAUGCCCACUAGAAAGCUUCCUCCUCUACUCUCCACUACUGAGCAUGUGCAGCACAGUUUCAGGCAUUGUAACUAAGGGCCUAAGAGUCGUAUGAAGAUACCGAGUAUACAGAACAGGACAUAACACAGGAGAGAUCCGCAAAAUACAUAUGGUCGUGUGAAUGCUUCCUAAGGAAAAGGACAGAAGAAAUGAGAGUUGAGAAGAUACAGAGUAUGAGAGACAAGAAAGAGUGCAAGAGAGGUGAGAAAAUUCAGAGUACAAGAGACAGGGCUACGGUUAGAACACAUGAGAAAAUAUGGCGUAUAAAGGGCAGGAGAGAACACAGGAGAGGUGAGAAGAUACUGAACAUAAAGAACAGCGGAGAAGGCAGAAGAGGUCAGAAGAUAUCAUGUAUACGGAACAGGACAUAACACAAACAGGGCAGAUCCGAAAACACAUAAGGUGCAUUCAAGCGACCAUAAGGAAAAGGACAGACGAAAGGAGAGUUGAGAAGAAACCAAGUAUAAUGAACAGCGCAAGAGAGGUGAGAAGAUACUGAGUAUAAGGGGCAGGGGAGUACACUGGCGAGGUGAGAAGUUGCUGAGUAUAAGGGACAGGACAGAACACAGACAGGGCAGGUGAGAAGAUACAAAAGUAUAAGAACCAGGAGAGAACAAAGGAGAGGUGAAAAGAUACUGAGAAUAAGCGACGGGGAGUAAAGGAUAGGGGAGAAGAUUUUGAGUAUAAGGAACAGGCAAGGACAAAGGAGAAGUGAGAAGGCAGAGUAUAAAGGGCAGGACAGAACACAGGACAGGUGAGAAGACACCAAGUAUAGGGAACAGGACACAGGAGAAGUGAGAAGAUAUCCACCAUAAGGAACAGGACAGAACACAGGAGAGGUGAGAAGAUACCGAGUAUAAGGGAGAGGGGAGAACCCAGGGCAGAUGAGAAGAUACUGAAUAUAAGGGACAGGGUAGAACAGAGGAGAGAAGAUACAGAGUAUAAGAGACAGGACAGGUGAGGGGAUACCAAAUAUAAGGAACAGGACAAAACACAGAACAGGUGAGAAGAUACCGAGUAUAAGAGACAGGACAGAACACAGGACAGGUGAGGGGAUACCGAGUAUAAGUAACAGGACAGAAAACGGGGAUACAGAGUAUGAGGAACAGGACAGGAUGGAGGGGAGGUGAGAAGACACCAAGUAUAAGGAACAGGACAGAAAACAGAAGGGAGAAUGUACAGAGUAUAAGGCUACAUGCA